AUGAACACCAAGACGUACAAUCGCAUUUGGACGUGCCUUCAGCUGGGGAAGACGAGCGGUCGGAAGAGAGUGAGCGAUGCCGGUCUCGUGGAUGCCAUCUGGAGAUACAGCGCCUCGAAGGCAGUGGAAAACGACUCCGGGUCCCAGUCAUCUCAUCGGUCAGCUGCCGCCGCCGACCUUGGGCUCGACAGGUUCAGGCUUAACGAGUCGCAGCUGAACGCAGUAGAGGACUCCGUUGCAGCAAUGGGGAGCCCUUCUCCUUCCCUGAAGCUGAUAUGGGGGCCUCCAGGGACCGGCAAAACCAAGACCAUCAGCACCAUACUCUGGGCGAUGCUGCUCAGGGGGCACCGGACGCUUACUUGUGCUCCGACCAACACCGCGGUGCUGGAGGUCGCGUCUCGAGUUGUCCAGCUUGUCCGGGAGUUCUCGAAUGGCGGCAGCGGCGGCUGCUUCCUCAGUGACAUCGUUCUGCUGGGAAACAAUGAGAAGAUGAAGGUAGAUGCCAGCCACGAGCUCUCUGCGGUGUUCCUUGACUGUCGUGUCGAGCGGCUUUCCCAAUGCUUCUCGCCAAAUGGAGGCUGGGCGCACUGCUUGCGUUCGCUGAUGGGUUUUCUUGUGGAGCCUGUGAGCAAAUACCAGCUGUACACCGACAAAAUUACCAAGGACCGUGAGGAGGAGGAGGAGAAGAAGAGGAACAUCUCAUCAAAUGUACUAGAUAAGAAGAACAAAAAUGUUGCAAGAUGCAAUAAAGGGAAUGGCCAUGAAAAGGAUAGAUGCAAUAAUGAAGGAGACGUGCAAGUGUUUAUUACCCUGUCAUUCAAGGAUUUUGUGAGAGCCACUCACAAGGAACUCGCUCACAACUUGUGCCACUGCAUCGAGACAUUGCAGAAUGAUUUCCCAAGGGACCCUACGCCGGCGCCGAAUUUCUGGUGCAUGUCCGAUGUGGUAGAAGCAACAAGAGUUCUCGGUGCGCUGCUAGACGCCGGUGCCGGCGACAGACACGAGGCAUGGGUGAGCGAUGUCGGCGAUGCCUGCAACCCGUGCUCUGUGAGCAGCGAUCCUCCAUGCGAGGAAUGCAGAUUCAGGAAAGCGAGGUCACUCUGUCUCGAACAACUGGAGUAUCUGCGCAACAAUCUGAAGCUCCCCGGCUACUACGACAAGCGACCGAUUGAAACCUACCUGCUGAAGAGAGCCAAGAGUAUCCUGUGCACUGUUUCCACUUCUUUCAGGCUGUAUAACGUACUGCCCACGGAUAACCACAAACCUGUUGGCGGGCAAGGACAACAGCAACGCAAAGAACCUGAGAUCUUCCCACCUCUGGAGCUGUUGGUCGUCGACGAGGCCGCGCAGCUCAAGGAGUGCGAGGCCAUGAUCCCGCUGCAGCUGCCUUGUAUAAGGCAUGCUGUUUUCAUCGGGGAUGAGCGCCAGCUACCUGCUCUCGUCAAGAGCAAAAUAUCCGAGAAUGCGGAUUUCGGAAGAAGCAUCUUCGAGAGGCUGAUCUCGCUAGGCUGCCGCAAGCACCUCCUCGACACCCAGUACAGGAUGCAUCCGGAGAUAAGCAGGUUCCCUGUCUGGAGGUUUUAUGACGGCAAGGUAGGUGACGGCCCCAACGUCGUCUCCAAGAGCCACCGGCGCCGCCUCUUGAGAGGCAACAUGUUUGGGCCCUACUCGUUCAUCAACGUGCGUGGGGGGCGCGAGAGCAGUGAGGAGCAUAGCCGGAGCCCCAAAAACACCAUCGAGAUCGCCGUCGUCUCGCUGAUAGUGGAGAGACUGUUCCGAGAGUCGUCUUCUUCGGGAACAAGGCUAUCCGUUGGCAUCCUGUCGGCGUACAACGCUCAGGUGAGAGCGUUCCAGGAGAAGCUGGAGAAACCAUACGGUUGCCGCGAUGGUUUCUCUCUCAAGAUAAAGUCGGUGGACGGGUUCCAGGGCGGGGAGGAAGAUGUCAUCAUCAUAUCCACGGUGAGGAGCAACGAGGAUGGCGCCGUCGGGUUCCUCAGGGACGCAAAGCGUACCAAUGUGGCUCUCACCAGGGCCAAGCAUUGCUUGUGGGUGAUUGGCAACGCGACGACUCUGUCGAAGAACAGGUCUGUCUGGCAGGACAUUGUGUAUGAUUCUCAGAGACGACGGCGCUUUUUCCAUGCUAGCAGUGACAAAGGUCUGCUAGACGCAAUACAGGCGGCAACUACUGAGCUUGAUGCCGCCGAUAAUCUGCACAAGAUGGAGUCCUUGCAGUGCGCGGCAUGA
rnacentral:rRNA from 1 species